UCUCUGGGUGCUUUGUAAGUGAGACAUUCUGAAUCUAAGACACUUACUGUACCAUGCACACCUGGUCAGUUUACACGUAAAGGACAAUUAAGUUGCAUGUGCCUGACAUUUUUAUUAACAAUGCUGAGCUACAGGGGUGUGUUGCAUAUAUUCCCUUGAGGACACAGAUAGAGAGAUGGACAGAUACACACACUUAAUUUUAGUUUCGGCUACAAAGUUUGGUUUACUUAGCAACUCAGUGCUGACUGAGCAACACCCUGUAAGGCAAAACAUUCCAGUUCUGACGUGAGACAAGAGUUCCCUUAUUACCACGUACAUUACUUUAAAAAAAAUUAGCAUACGCACUCUUUAAUCCCCUUUGAACUGCUGAAAGAGCAAU